rnacentral:rRNA from 1 species
GCCAGCAAACUAGGUGGGAUCUUUAUCCUAAAGAACUCACCAGGAAAAUAGUUAAAUAAACAAACCAAGUGUGGACAAAUAUAUGUGGUAUAGUAGACCGACAAAUCCAAGUGUAUAUGGAGAUCUUUUACUGCAUACAGAGCUCAUGUACAUAGGUGAUAAAUUUGCAGCUGAAGAUAUUGCUGCUAGAGAUAAAUUUAUAGAUACAAGCAGCCUAAUAUUAAACUAACUUCCGGAAACAGUAUGGCAACCAUCUAGUGAUUAAUAGCCAAAUCAAAAGUUGAUAAUCUCCUAUACAAACUUUGAGUACGGACUGGUAUUUCCAUUGUUGGGCCCUUGAGACUAAAGGAACUUCCAGUUAAGACAUCAAUACUUGUAGCAUUUUGUUGAUUUGGAGCAAAAGAUGAGACAUCCAAACCACAUGCAAGUUGAAGCCGAUGGCACACAACAGAAACCAAGUAAGAUGCUUCAGGACGGUUGGAAGAAUCAGAUGUGCACACUACUAACUCCAAACUACCACUGAAUGCAAGUUCAAACUGAAAGCUGCCACAAAGACCAAAUCAAGUAUAAUAUGCUUCAGGAUCAGGGUUAAUCAGAGGUCAAAAACAUCCGGGAAGCAGAUGAUCCAUUUGCUUCACCAAAUCCCCCCACCAACUGACGUGUUGCUAGACUUUCCAACUCUACAAUUUUCCAACAGGAAUGAUCAAUGAACAGCCCAAAUAUAAUCAGAAUACUUGAAGUUUCUUGAAGGAAAGUCAGAACAUAAUUAGAACUGGACAAUGAGUUGAAAAAAGCAUUGAGCAUAGGUACUCCCUCCAGAACGAAGCUCCCAAACAAGCUUUUAGAAUUCUUCACCUCUGCGGAUCAGUUUGAAUACUCAGACUUAACAGCUAACUGGUUUUCUAGCUUAUCGAUAGAAAAAUGUGAAAUCAGAAGGUCUCCAAAAAUAAAUUUCACGCAGCAUGACAUCAGAUUUCUGUUGUAAAAUUGUCAAGUACACCUGCAAUGAACAAAAGACCAUGAUGCCUAACCAUUUUUGAGAAAGCUAAGAAUGUGAACAAAUAUAGCAAGGGAGAUAGGGAAGCCUGGUUUAGUGAAGUUAUGCACAUUGGUUUGAAUUAUCCUCAUUGUAUGCCACAUCUGCAUAGAACUAGGAGUUACUGACAAGAAAGAACAAUGUUUGGAAUGUUAAAAGUUAACAGAGAAAUGAAUCACGAAGAAUCUCCUAGAGCUCUGCACCAUUCCAAUUAUUGAGCCAAAAAGUAGUCCGGGCAAGCCUACGCUCAAAUGCUGGAGAACAACCAAAAAUCCAAAUAAUACUCAGAACAGAAACCAAACAGUCCAGUCACGCCUCAAGACACUUAUGAAUCCUCAACUAUGCGGGCAUGACCAACAAUUCCAAUCCCAAACUUGUAAGAUAUCAUCCGAACAGCUAAGCCAUGAAUCACCCAAACCUCUACCCUACAAUACGAUCUCCACUGUCUCGUAUCUGAAGGAACAAAUGCGCAUAUCAUAAACGAGAUGAAAUUCACCUUGUAUUACGUGACAGACAGAAUCGUUGAUUAGCCAUUGGAGAUUGAAGAAGAGGAACAAAGCUAAUUUUUGCAUUGAGAGCAGACCAAACACUGACCUGACUCCACAGGGCACACCCACCAAUUCCAACAUAUACUGCAAAGAACAAGCCCAGCAGGCCAACAGACCAACAGAAACACAUGGAUUGGGAGUACAGAUAACAAAGUGAGAAACCAAAAAGGCAACAUAUUUUGAAUGGCUACCAGCAUGACUUGAUCAAGCAAAAGGCAACCAAGAUAGCAGAAGUUUCUUCAGGAACUCGGCAUAAGAUAGUUUUUCGGUUGUAGAGAGCACCGAAUUUUUUCGGUUGUAGGAUGUCCCAGAGCAACCUCCGAAUCUUAUACAUCCACCAAAUCAAUAUGAAUGUUCAAAUUGUCUCCAUAAGAUAAUUUAUAUAUGUUGAACAAAUUGCAAUGAAUUGGAAAGGGUUUAGAAGAUCUUCAAACAGAUAACUCCGGAUCAGGUUGGACCUAAAUAGUCAAUUAGGACCUGCAACGACCAACAGACCUCUUCCCAUGAAUAUUUGCUUUGGGGAGACGAAGCUACUUAUAAACAGCUAAAUGAUGCAUCAAAACAGUGAGGGGAUAGGAUAAGCCUGCUUGGCUGGGAGAGAUCAGUUAGGCAACAACACCAGUUCCAGAUAGCGAACUAUAUUAUCUCUCAUCCAUGUCAAUAUCUGCAAGGACACGUAGUUACCAAGGGCAGAGAAAACCAUAGGAAGUACAAUGUUCAAAGCAAAUCAGGAAAGAUUGAAGUCAACAGAAGAAAACGCCUGUAACAUGGUGAAACAAAACAGAGCACCUUCCGGAAAGUCCCCAUAAGUCCACUAGCUGGAGAACCAACAAUCCAUAUCAGAGAUGUUGUAAGCUAAAUUUGACAGCACACAAGAUCCUAGCUUAUAAUCAGCCAUUGAGCCAUAACCAAUCAAAGUAACCAUGAACAGUAAAGCAAACCUUAAUCCUUUGAUUCAUCACUCCACAACAUCCUGCAUCUCAAGGAGCACAAACACAUACCACAAGCGAGAUCAGCUGUUACAACGAGAACCAAUUCACCUCAUAUUGAGGCACAGCCAUACUGAUGAGCCACAGACAAAGAUAAAUUGAAGAACUCAAGGUAUAGCCACUUAAAUCUUUUGUCACCGAGCACAGAUGAGGGAUACAGUAAACCAGUGUGACCAAACAUGGGAAACUGACCUGCCUCAAAAGUCCCCUUCACCAUACUGUUAUACACCAUAGGGAGCUUCAUGUCCAGGCCAGAUCCAGAUCCAGUCCUGCAAGCCAACUCAUGGAGGUGGCGCUAACAAAUGAAACAAACAGACCAUCUACAAGACACUGACCUGACUCCAUGUACAGAGCAAAGGUUUGGGCACAAACUCCUAACUAUUAUAUCCUGCAACACUUGCAGAAGACCAAUAGAACACAGGGAUCAAGAGUUAAAGGUAACAAAUCAAACAAUGGAGAGCUAGAUCGCAAACCAAAAUAUUAGAACAGAUUCCGAGUCAUUACCCACAUGGUCUGGGCUAAAAAAAAUCUGCAACCACAGUAAAGGCAGGAGCAAAAACCUAUAUCAAAGAUAUGGCCAAGUAGCUAAAUGAAAUUAAAAGAAGGAUGGCAAGAGUUUUUUCGGUUGUAGGAUGUGCCACUAGUCAAAAGCUUCGGAUUAUCCUUAGAUUCGUGCACCUUUGCAUAUGUAUCUGUAUUAUAAAAUAUUGCCUAGUAAGAUAAUUUGUUGGUUAUGUAAGUUGCAAUGAAUUGAAGGUAUACUAGUAGAUUUAGAAGAUCUGCAAACAGAUUCAUCAUCAGGUUGGGCUCGAGUUUCGUCAACUACAACCUGCAACGAGCAAGAGACCUUACUAUAAAUUUUCAAUUAGGGAAAAAUGUUACUUAUAAAUAGCCAAAGCAUGGAUCAAACGAUGGGGCGGGAACAAGUAAGCCUGUCUCGGAUAGGAAGUUCAGCUAUGGUUGACGGACGACAACACCACCAGUUCCAAAGUGCAGUUAUAGCCUUUCUAUGUCAGUAUCUGCAAGAGCUGAGAAUUACCGACCAAGGCAGAGAAAACCUAAUGUCAUGACAAUAAGAAAGGUUGAAAAAGUUUGAGCCACAGAAGGAACCGCCAUGCUGAGGCAAAUUAGGACCGCCCGCUAGGCCGUGUAAUUCCAAUUUCUGUACAACCAUCAACAGAUCACAAACAGAAUUGUUGGGUGACUAAUUGAACUCUGGAGAAGAAGAAAUUAAACUGAGUAGGUAAUGAUCAUCCACUGCAGAUCACCAAGACGAUAGGUGCUCCCGCUAAGCCGUAUAACCUCAAUUUCUGAAGAACCACCAACAAAUGCAAAGCAGGAUUAUCGUAGACUCAAGGUGAGCUAUGGAGAGAAAUAAAUGAAAUGGAGGAAGUAAUGAUUCAUCCAAAGCAAUCAGCAAGAAGACAAAUCACCCCUGUCGCUAAGCCAAAUCUAAAUUUCUGUAGAUCCAAUCCAAAUCAGAAUCUCUUGGAGUAAAUUAUUGUACUUCGCAAAUAAAUACGAGUAAGUUAAAAGUCAGAGUGAUCGAGAAUUUGAGAUCAUCCAAACACGGAUCACAAGUUGGAGUUGAACACCAAAACACCGUCCUCCGGAAAGAUCUAUCCAUUUGUAUAAGAAACCAAACCUCAACUCUUCGACUCAUCUCUGCAGAGCCACUACCCUCUUGCUUCUGCUGCAUCUAAAGGAGCACAAACACACACCAAAAGCGAAAUCAGCUGCUACAAUAGGAAUCCACUAGGACCUCGAAUCCACCUCAUAUUAGCUGAUGAUUAUGGAACUCCUGAUGAGAACGAGAAAACCACACGAGUGAUAGCCAUUCACAUCUGACCUGCCUCAAAUCCCCUUUGACAUACAACAUCCCAGGGAUCUCCACAUACAAGAUCCAGUCCUGCAACCAACCCAUGGAAGCCAACAAAAAUGAACCAACCGUCAAGACACUGACCUGACCCCGUGACACGUACAAACAACAGGUUUGCAUGUAGGACCAGAUUUCCUAUAAAUAUAUCAGAUAGCAAUGGGCAGGAAUACUAACGCAGGGAUCAAGAGUACAGAUAACCAAUCAAACCACAAGGAGAUAGAUUGCAAACCAGACGAUUUUAACAGAUUCAGGCUCACUGCCAGUAUUGUCUUAGGCCAAAAUAAAUCUGCAACGACAUGGAGGGCAGAAGAAAAAACCUAAAUCAAAGACAUGAACAUAUAGCUGAAUUAAAUAAAAAUAAGAGGAUAAUAAGAGAUUUAAGUUUUUUCUGGUUCUAGGAUAUGCCACUAAUUUGAAGCUUCAUUCUUGCACCUUUGCAACUAAUCUGAAUUUGAAAUAUUGCCUAGUAAGAAAUCUUAGUACUAUUAUCUAAGUUAAGAAAUUGAGAAGAUAGAUUUAGAAGAACCGCAUGCUCACAUCAAGUUGGUGGCCUUGAGUUCGUGAACUAGGACCUGCAUCGAGCAAGAUACCUUUCUAUAAAUGUUUCAGUUAGGAAGAGAACUAGAUUAAAUGAUGACGAGUUAAGAUAAAAUAAAGUAAGCCUGUAUCGACUGGGAAGGUCAGGUAGACAAGCUCCAAUUAUAUCCCUUGCAAGGCACCAUCUGCAAGAGCUGAGAAUGACUAAGGCAGGGAAACUAAUGUUUGCUGAGAUAUAAUUAUUUCAAUAAGAAAGGUCCAGAAAGUUUAUCCCCAUAAGAAGAAACGCCAUGCCGAGCCAAAUUAGGACCACCCGCCGCUAGGCUAUGUCAUUCAGUUUCUGGAGAGCCAGCAGCAUAUCAAAAUCAGAGUUGUUGGGGGACUAAUUGAAUUGUGGAGAAGAACAAAUUAAACAGAGAGUGAUCAUGCAAACGCAGGUCAGCAAGAAGGCGGGUGGCUCGAAGUGGCCCUCUGUAAUCCCAGUUUCAGGAUAACCAGCAAAAUAUCCAAAUCAGAAUUGUACUGUAGUAGGCUAAAUUGAACCAGAAACUAAAUUAGGAGGGAUUGAUGUAUAUUAUCCAAACGCAGAUCGUGUAUUCCAGCCUGGGUUGGUAAGAGGUCGAAAGCUUGAUCAUCCCAGAAGAUUUGAUCAUAUCAGAAUAACCGUUGGACUGUAAUCAAUCAAUCAAACUAACCGUUGGACUGUAAUCAAUCAAUCAGAAUAACCAUGAACAGAAAUCAAACCUCCGCCACCCCUUCAUCUGUAUCAUCUCUCCAGAACUAAGCGCUGGCCCUCUUGGUUCUGCAUCUAGGAUGAGAGCACAUACACCAAAAGCAGAUCAGCCGGUAAAGUAAGAAUCCACGAGGGCCUCGAAUCCACCUCGUAUUAUUAACUAACUGAUGACGACGGAACUCGGGACGAGAGCGGUCGAUCGGGGAACAAUAGAGCCGGAAGGCCGCACGGUCGACGGCGUUCAAUUCAAUUUCAAAUCUGAAACCACCGACGAGACGAACGCGGGCAGGUGACGGAACCAAGGAAGCGAUCCGACCGAUCGAGCGCGAGAAACUGACCUUGCUUCGGCCCUCCGGUCACCCGAAAUCAAAUCAGACGCAGAGGCAAAACCGAACGGCUCGAGGGAUUCCCCGGUCGAUCGAUCGAUCGCUCCCCGGAGGCGGACGAGACGGGCCGAAUCCCCUGCGAGCACAGGGAGCAGAGGCGACGAGGAGCGAAAUCAAACGCGAUUGAUUCGAAACGAAUCGAGAAUUGAUGGACAAGGGGGAGGAGAGGGUGGCGGAGACGCGAGGAGGCGACUCAGGCGGAGGCACGGCCCGAAGGAGAAAGCUCCGAAAGGAAGAGAGGGAGGAGGCC